rnacentral:rRNA from 1 species
AACGAACGCUGGCGGCGUGCUUAACACAUGCAAGUCGAGCGAGAAAGGGGGGGCAACCCCCUGAGUAGAGCGGCGCACGGGUGAGUAACGCGUGGGUAACCUACCCCCAGGCGGGGGAUAACCACUCGAAAGGGUGGCUAAUACCGCAUGAGACCACGGGAUCUUCGGAUCCUGAGGCUAAAGAUUGCACCGGCUUGCCGGUGCCGUCACCAGGGGAUGGGCCCGCGUCCGAUUAGCUAGUUGGCGAGGUAAUGGCUCACCAAGGCUACGAUCGGUAGCUGGUCUGAGAGGAUGAUCAGCCACACUGGAACUGAAACACGGUCCAGACUCCUACGGGAGGCAGCAGUGAGGAAUAUUGCGCAAUGGGGGAAACCCUGACGCAGCAACGCCGCGUGGGUGAAGAAGGCCUUCGGGUCGUAAAGCCCUUUCGGACGGGACGAACGCUUCGCGGUGAAAGCCGCGAAGUCUGACGGUACCG